rnacentral:lncRNA from 1 species
AUAUUAAAUGACUAAAUGAGCAACAAUUGGCUAUAUUGUUUACAAGUAUUCCAAAAAUAUAGGUUGGGAGAGGGUUAUGUACAGCACUGAUGUAUUUUUACAAACAAUUGCAAACAAAAAAGGCGUGAGAAAGCAAAGGAACAUUAAAAACUUAUAAAAUGAAGACAAGCAGACAACAGCAUGGCAAAAAAACACGAAAAAGAAAAACAAAUAGAAAUAGAAAAUUAUGAUCGAGGCUAGUAUUACCUACUACAUUAUAUGGUCUCCUGUAGUUUAAUCCCACGAACCA